CGGUUGAUCCUGCCGGACCUUACUGCUAUCGGGGUGGGACUAAGACAUGCGAGUUGAGCGUCUCUAGCUAUGUUGAGACGCAGCAGACGGCUCAGUAACACGUGGCUAACCUACCCUCAGGACGAGGAUAAACCCGGGAAACUGGGGCUAAUACUCGAUAGGUGAGGAUGUCUGGAAUGACUCCUCACCCAAAGGGCCUUGGGAACAUGCUUCCAUGGUCGCCUGGGGAUGGGGCCGCGUCCGAUCGGGUUGUUGGUGAGGUAACAGCUCACCAAGCCUAUAACCGGUACGGGCCGUGAGAGCGGUAGCCCGGAGAUGGGUACUGAGACAAGGACCCAGGCCCUACGGGGCGCAGCAGUCGCGAAAACUCCGCAAUGCACGAAAGUGUGACGGGGCUACCCCGAGUGCCAUCCGCUGAGGAUGGCUUUUCUUUGGUAUAACUAGCCAUGGGAAUAAGGAGAGGGCAAGACUGGUGUCAGCCGCCGCGGUAAUACCAGCUCUCCGAGUGGUAGGGAUGAUUAUUGGGCUUAAAGCGUCCGUAGCCGGCUUAGCAAGUCUCCUGUUAAAUUCAGCGACCUAAUCGUUGACCCGCGGGAGAUACUACUAGGCUAGGAGGCGGGAGAGGUCGACGGUACUUCUGGGGUAGGGGUGAAAUCCUAUAAUCCCGGGAGGACCACCAGUGGCGAAGGCAGUCGACUAGAACGCGCUCGACGGUGAGGGACGAAAGCUGGGGGAGCGAACCGGAUUAGAUACCCGGGUAGUCCCAGCCGUAAACGAUGCGAGCUAGGUGUUGGGAUGGCUACGUGCCAUUUCAGUGCCNCAGGGAANNNNAUUAAGCUCGNCGNCUGG
rnacentral:rRNA from 1 species